AAAUGAAUUGACGGGAGCCCGCACAAGCAGUGGAGUAUGUGGUUUAAUUCGACGCAACGCGAAGAACCUUACCGGAGCUUGACAUCCCAGAGAGGCCGACGUAAUGUUGGCUGUGCCCCUUCGGGGGAAUCUGGUGACAGGUGGUGCAUGGUUGUCGUCAGCUCGUGUCGUGAGAUGUUGGGUUAAGUCCCGCAACGAGCGCAACCCUUACGGUUAAUUACUACGAAAGAGUACCUUAGCCGGACUGCCGUUGACAAAACGGAGGAAGGUGGGGACGACGUCAAAUCAUCAUGCCCCUUACGCCCCGGGCUACACACGUACUACAAUGGCGAGAACAAAGGGAAGCGAAGCCGCGAGGCGAAGCAAAUCCCAUAAAAAUCGUCCCAGUUCGGACUGCAGGCUGCAACUCGCCUGCACGAAGUUGGAAUUGCUAGUAAUCGCGGAUCAGCAUGCCGCGGUGAAUACGUUCCCGGGCUUUGUACACACCGCCCGU
rnacentral:rRNA from 1 species